CUCUCAUCAAUUCAAAUGAAAGAACCUCAAACAGAAAACCUUAUUGCCAAAAUAUGAAUAGUAGAGUUAGUGGAUUGUUUACGAUUAACCUACUACUUAGGGCUUGAAACAUGCAUGUGAGACCAGGGAUUUAAUUGUUCAUCCAAAUUUAUCCACAAAUCGAACCGUAGCACCAUUCUGAUUUUAUUCUUUAUUUUCAACACCUAGUAAAUAGGACAAACUUGAAUGCAGAAGACCGUAUUGCACAAAUUACUCAUGAACCUCCAAUGUAUAAACUAGACAACUGGAUUACCUAAUUUAAUCAUUUAUGACCCUCACAUUCAAUAACAUGCUCAUGUAGUAUUCCAACAAUUUAAUGAUUAAACACAACACAACUACUGGUAUCAAUUAGAAUAUUCAACCUACAGUGAACACAACUACAACUAGUGUUUAACUAGUAAUACUUAUAUCAAUAUGAGAAAAACAGUAACUCGAAUAGUCCAAAUAUACUUCAAUCAUACAAAUGACACUGAAUAAACAUAUUGCUUUAUAUUUUUAACUAAGGCAAAACACGAAAAAUCAAGAAUCAUCCCAAUAGUAGUUCACUUCAUAUCCACAAGCUUGAAGAUUACGAAUAUGCACCUGGAUGUUGAAAUAUCAGAAGAAGAAAGAGUCAACAGCAGUAAGACGCAGGAACCAAAUACAGCCCAGAAAUGAGUUCAAUAACCCAGAAUGCAGUUCAGGAAGAGUUUGAGAUCAAAACAGAAUUAGGAAGUCCACUCGAAAUUGGACUAGAAAUUUACAGCAACAACUCGAAUAAAUCCCAAACACUUUCAAAUGCUUUAAACCUUCGAGUACAGAACAAAAUCAAAGAAAUCCGAGCUAUUCUGAUCCCAAAUGAGCUAACCAGUGGAAUUAAAAGCUGAAAUUUGAAAAUAGCCUAAGGAAAAAGCACUAAAAUAGUAUUUUUGAGAUUUUCUACUAUAUUUGCCUUUGUUUUUUUUAGUUUUCAGUAGAAAUAUAAGAUCUAAAGAGAAAUAUUUAACUUCUGAUCAUUUCAAAUUCAAAACUAAGAACUCAGAUUUGUAGGGGAGGUUUUGGGGGAAUUUUUGGGGCUCCAAACUCAUUCAACAAGGCAUUUGUGAUGCCUUUUAUAGGCAACAAUCAGGUUUUCAGUUGUUCUUUAGUACCUCUUCAUUUUCUCUUGUUGUCCCUCAUUUUUAAAUACCCUGAGUUUUCUGAAAUAUUCACUAAGGUCCUAUUCUAGAAGGGUCUAAAGUAUUCUAGUGUGAUCUAUCAUGUCUUACCCAAUACCAAAUAUCUAAACUACCCUUUAAUACUUCUAAAAUUACUUAACCCAAACCCCUACCUAUGUUUAUCUAGUUAACAAACCAACCACACAUCAAGGUGAUCAAUUGCUGAUGAAUUAAACCAUCUUAAUCAAAGACUUGAAACCAAAUUAAUUACAAACUAAAAUUAAUCACACUUAACAGCCAUAUAACAUUAAAACGAUUAUUAACCAAACAGAAUUACAAUCGAGAUUAAGAAUCAUUACUCAAAUAGCCAAAUAGAAACAAAUAUAACAAUUAACCAAUCAAUCCCCUAAACUAACACGAAUCAAGCAGACAAGGAUAAAAAAAUGAAACAGAAAUAUAGAAGAGUCAUUGAUUUCGGGCUGACAAUUAUUACCAAACAAAGUUAAAAAGCUACCUAGUCAUGGAAGGUCAGAACAUCAAGGAAAAAAAAUAAAAGAAACUAAGCUUCGAAAACUCACUGACUCACUUCGAGACUCCGGUCAAAGUUUCAAAUUCGAACACGACCAACUCCGACAGAAAUGAAGCUUGAUUCAUGACCGAUUCACUACGAGGAAGGUUAGAGGGUAAUUUGGUAUCAAAUUGGUGAAGUUUGGGGCAAUUAGGGUUUUAGCCAGAAAAUUGAAAUAGAUAUUCGAGCCAUUCUUGUCAGAUUCGAGACAAGAUGGUCAUAUAUUUGGGUUGAGGAAAGUUAGGAGAGUCAAUGGUGUAAUUUUGGAGCGAUUUGGAAUAGUUGACGUCGUGGCCGGAAAAUCUUCCGACGAAAAUUCGAGGAUUUAUGGUUAGGUUCGAGGGAAAUAAAAGGCGGGAAUGGGAAGAGGAUGAUCUGGGGAGUUCGUGGUAUGAAUUUGAGGCGGAUUGGUAUAGGUUUCGUCCGCCGGCGGCUUCCGCCGAGGUGCAAAACAGUACGAGGAAGAUGAAGGGCUGGUCUCUGAGGCUAUGCGUAUAUUCGGACAAUUAUAUCACAAUAACACCAACC
rnacentral:lncRNA from 1 species